rnacentral:rRNA from 1 species
AUACGUAGGGGGCGAGCGUUGUCCGGAAUUAUUGGGCGUAAAGGGCGUGUAGGCGGCCUCUUAAGUCCGGUGUGAAAGCCCCCGGCUCAACCGGGGAGGGUCACUGGAAACUGGGGGGCUUGAGAGCAGGAGAGGAGAGCGGAAUUCCACGUGUAGCGGUGAAAUGCGUAGAGAUGUGGAGGAACACCAGUGGCGAAGGCGGCUCUCUGGCCUGGCUCUGACGCUGAGGCGCAAAGCGUGGGGAGCAAACAGGAUUAGAUACCCUGGUAGUCCACGCCGUAAACGAUGAGUGCUAGGUGUUAGUGGGGUUACCCAUUAGUGCCGAAGGAAACCCAAUAAGCACUCCGCCUGGGGAGUACGGCCGCAAGGCUGAA